rnacentral:rRNA from 1 species
CAGUAGGGAAUCUUCCACAAUGGGGCGCAAGCCUGAUGGAGCAACACCGCGUGAGUGAAGAAGGGUUUCGGCUCGUAAAGCUCUGUUGUUAAAGAAGAACACGUACGAGAGUAACUGUUCAUACGUUGACGGUAUUUAACCAGAAAGUCACGGCUAACUACGUGCCAG